GUACCCUCAAGCUUUGCUUGGUGAUGGGUGUUUGUUCCGCUGCAACGCGUGAACUCGCCUCAAAUCAAUUGGCAGCCGGCAAUCUGGUGUUUGAGCGCAGCACAUUUUGCGCUCUUCGCUGUGUAUUGCGGGCGUCCAUGAAGCCUAUAUUUUCAC
rnacentral:misc_RNA from 1 species